ACAGGCACUGGACAGAUAAGCAGCAGAUCUGCUGGGAAGCGGUCAGAUUUUUGGAGCCUUAGGGAAGUACUGUACCUUUUGAAUGGUGUUCAGGGAAUUGAGAGUGCUCAACAUCAUUUGCAAUAAAUCACUGACUUCUGAAGGACUGAGCCUCAGGUUGGGACUCUCCAAAGCCAAGAGUUCUGGACCUGCCACUAACACCCUCUCUAGGAUCUGCCACCACUCAGACUUACAGUGAUUUCCAGUCUAUCAGAUUUCUGAGACAGCCAGCUAGUACUAAUGAAAGCUGGAGAAGAACUGAAAAUGCAUAUAUCACAUGAAUAUUUCACUAUUAGCUGGAAUUGCAGCUGAAGUGAGCCGCCUGCUUUAUAAAAGCAUCCCCARUGACUGGGAUAUGUUGCUGUAGUCACACACCACAAUGAUGAUCUACAAAACAGGUACAGAGUACUUCAUUAUGUGCACGAACAGAAAUGCUUAAAUGGAUGAAGCAGCUAUUUACGUCUGAUAGGAGCUAAGUGGGACAUUAAAUUAAUGCCAAACAAAUUUUGUCACCCUGAGUUAUUUAUUCACCUGAACAAGGCCAGAAGAAUAAGGUCUGAACCUCUAAGUGUAGCCAUGAAAUGAAUGUGAGUUCAGAACGCUGCUCUGGCUGUGGGUCUCUGUGUCUGUGCCAUCCUGGACUGUGACAGGCAAGCAGGACACAAAUGUGGGUGAAAAAAAAAACAUUUGAUUUCUGAUCUGAGGGAUUGUCUGUGACAGCCACAAUACUGACUUAGAGAAUCUCAGACCUUGGGUUAGUCUCUGUUGCAGAAUGUUAUCUGUGCUUGCACAGAAAGAAAAAUUYUUCCUGAUUACACAAAAUGCAAGAU